GACGAACGCUGGCGGCGUGCUUAACACAUGCAAGUCGAACGGAAAGGCCCUGCUUUUGUGGGGUGCUCGAGUGGCGAACGGGUGAGUAACACGUGUGUAACCUGCCCUUGACUUUGGGAUAACUUCAGGAAACUGGGGCUCAUACCGGAUAGGAGCUCCUGCUGCAUGGUGGGGGUUGGUAAGUUUCGGGGGUUGGGGAUGGACUCGCGGCUUAUCAGCUUGUUGGUGGGGUAGUGGCUUACCAAGGAUUUGACGGGUAGCCGGCCUGAGAGGGUGACCGGCCACAAGGGGAGUGAGAAACGGCGCAGACGCCUACGGGAGGAAGCAGUGGGGAAGAGUGCACAAGGGGCGGAAGACUGAUGCAGAAACGCCGCGGGCGGGAUGACGGCCUUCGGGUUGUAAACCGCUUUCGCCUGUGACGAAGAGUGAGAGACGGUAAGGGGUAAAGAAGCACCGGCUAACUACG
rnacentral:rRNA from 1 species